UUAGCCAGGCACUCAAAGGGUUGUUAAACCUACCACCGUUUCUCACGCAAGAAAGAAGUGUGCCUAUCUGGCUGGAGGCUGAGGGCACUCACAGGCGACCCGCACCACACGGUACUGGGGGCGGGACGAAGGGGAGCGGGGGAGCGGAGGAAUAGGUUUCGGUGGUGCCGAUACGGUGUUUGGGUCGGGGCGCGCGGGCGAGAUGGCCACGCUGCGGUGUGCGGCGCUGAAGCGACAGAUGUGGCGGAGGCGACGGCGUCGGCGUUACUCGGGGCGGCGGCGAUGACGCCGUCUACUCCGCGAGGGAAGCCGCAGUGGGAGUGGCUGCGGAGUGGGAGGUUUGCCGCCCCGAUGGAGCAACGACCAGCCGUAGCGUUUGUGCUCCAGCACCAGCGUCAUGAUGCCGUCGCCGAAGAGGUAGGCGCACGGCGGCAGGAAGCUACUGUAGAACCUCGGGCUCCUAAAGUCGCGGCGGUACUGGAUAAUACCGCUGUUCCGGUUCCAGUCCCGCAUGCGUCGAGCCAAGCGUAGAGGUCUAUCCAAUCUUGAACAUUCGCACCAUUAGUUCGGUAGAUUAGUCGAGUUCUAGUGUAAGGAUCUCCGGUUUCUAUAUUGUCUCAACCCGUGAGAUUUCCUCCGCAGGUUCAAUAAACAUGGACCGCCACGUUUUUAUAUGAGUCGAGCUUGUUAAUUUCAAUUCCUAGUCCUCCCAUAGUCCUGCAUAAUGAAGAUACUUAAAGCAAAACUGUCUGUUGUACAACGAGAUUACCGGUGGCACCUAUCACCCUUCCCUUUCCGACGCAUGAUAUCUGGGUUUCACCAGCCUGGGAAGGGGCUGGGACGCGUUCGCCCUCGAUGUACGUGGCCCGACGGGAAAAGUAGUACGUAAAACACAACGAUGAAAGAAAUCAGGAACGUCGACAUAAGAUCUAAGAAUUUGAUAUUUAAAUAUAGGAUGAUUACAGGGGUUCGUAAGUAGGUAAACAAGCAAGGAAGAACUUAUACCGCACUUGGCUAUUUGUGUUUUUGUUACGUACUCAGCAAACCUCCGUAGUGUGGAUGAGAUGAGGGUCCGUAAUAAAGAGCGCGAACAUUACAAGAAAAGAGACAAAGGCCAUUUUAAAUAACAGCCCGAAGGACAUACCAAAAGUUGAUUUUCUUGUUCACGUGUAUUGUAACUAUACAAGUCGACUUUCUGACGAUAUCGAUCUAGAACAGUCUUAUUAAAGAAAAACUCUUUGAAAGUCUGAUUACAGUAUUGGAAUAUUCUGUUCAUUAAAAAGAGCAAGAAAAAAAGGUCUCAUCUUAUAAAAGACAAUUAAAGACUAAAAAAAUGGAACACUUCAUAAACACAACGUGGCACAUUGUACGUAACAGUAACCACCGUCUGUAUAUAGCGACGGCGGUGACGAGGUCUCUGCUCCACCCUCUGCCUACCUCACUGUAACGCGAGCCGACGACAUAGAUACAGAGAGCGUACUAGAUUUACGAGAAUAUAAUACCCUGUCUCCCUCAUGAUAAAUAUAUAAUAUCUUGAUGCCAUAAUGUCGUAGAACUCAUCUCAAUAGGCCAAAAAAAGAGAUUUUAACUUGGGGUCUACAGACUGGAAGUCGAACUUCAGCUAGUUCUUAUAAUUUAAAUGUUAAAUGUCGUACACCCCAUCGAUCGAUGAGGGAGGUAGGCCAUUUCGAACAGUCCGCGUGUCAUGUUGCUUACAAAACGUUUUCAUUGGAGUAUGAAGGUUUCUGAACUGUUUUGUCGGUCCAGAGGCAGGAAGACGGAGGCGGGCACGCAACGAUCCCCGGACGCGACAGCCUAAGGCGGCGGCACGACCACUAAGGUCGCGAGCGUCGGGUGGUCGGAGGCGGGUGGGCGCGCUAGAGCCGCGGUUACACGCACUAAGGUGGCGGCGGCGGGUGGGCACACUAAAGCCGCGGUUGGAUGCGGCGUGCUGGAAGUGAGCACGAUGGCGAGUGGACACACUAAGUCAGCGGGUCCCACAACCACCUCAGCGAGGAAGGGGCGACGACCACCUUAGCGGUGGGCUCGGACUCGAGCAGCGGCUCAAGGGCGGAGACGACAACCAUGAGAACCCCUACCGUACUACUAAACGAUCAAAAACCUUUGUAAGUUAGUCCUUUAGUUCUUUAACUAGUACUACUAGGCGAUCAAAAACUUUGUCAGUUAGUCCUCUAGUACUACUGGAUGAUGAAAACCUUUGUUAGUUUGUCAGUUAGUCAGUUAAAAACCUUUGUUAUU
rnacentral:rRNA from 1 species